rnacentral:rRNA from 1 species
GCAAGUCGAACGAGAAAGUUCCUUCGGGGGCGAGUAAAGUGGCGCACGGGUGAGUAACACGUAGGUGACCUACCUUUCAGCGGGGGAUAACAGGAAGAAGUUCCUGCUAAUACCGCGUACGUUGGGUUAAUUUGGAUAUGACUCAAGAAAGAUGGCCUCUAUACUAUGCUAUCGCUGAAAGAUGGGCCUGCGAACCAUUAGCUUGUUGGUGGGGUAAUGGCCUACCAAGGCCGUGAUGGUUAGCUGGUCUGAGAGGAUGAUC